rnacentral:rRNA from 1 species
UGUUGCAGUUAAAAAGCUCGUAGUUGGAUUUCUGGCAGGAGCGACCGGUCCGCCGCAAGGUGUGCACUAGGUUGUCUCCAGUCAUCUUUGUGGGAACUGCUCUGGCAUUAGUUUGUCGGGGUUAGGGAACACAUCGUUUACUGUGAAAAAAUUAGAGUGUUUAAAGCAGGCUUAUGCCGUUGAAUACAUUAGCAUGGAAUAAUAAGAUAGGACUUUGGUGGUCUAUUUUGUUGGUUUGCACACCAAGGUAAUGAUUAAUAGGGAUAGUUGGGGGUAUUCGUAUUUAAUUGUCAGAGGUGAAAUUCUUGGAUUUAUGAAAGACGAACUACUGCGAAAGCAUUUACCAAAGAUGUUUUCAUUAAUCAAGAACGAAAGUUAGGGGAUCGAAGAUGAUUAGAUACCAUCGUAGUCUUAACCAUAAACUAUGCCGACUAGGGAUUGGUGGUCGUUCUUUAUGACUCCAUCAGCACCUUAUGAGAAAUCAAAGUCUUUGGGUUCCGGGGGGAGUAUGGUCGCAAGGCUGAAACUUAAAGGAAUUGACGGAAGGGCACCACCAGGAGUGGAGCCUGCGGCUUAAUUUGACUCAACACGGGGAAACUUACCAGGUCCAGACAUAGUAAGGAUUGACAGAUUGAGAGCUCUUUCUUGAUUCUAUGGGUGGUGGUGCAUG